rnacentral:rRNA from 1 species
UACGAAGGGUGCAAACGUUGCUCGGAAUUACUGGGCGUAAAGCGUGCGCAGGCGGUUCUGAAAGUCAGCUGUGAAAGCCCCGGGCUUAACCUGGGAAUUGCGGUUGAAACUACAGGGCUAGAAUCUGGCAGAGGGGGGUGGAAUUCCACGUGUAGCAGUGAAAUGCGUAGAGAUGUGGAGGAACACCGAUGGCGAAGGCAGCCCCCUGGGCUGAGAUUGACGCUCAGGCACGAAAGCGUGGGGAGCAAACAGG